rfam:Candidatus Pacearchaeota archaeon CG1_02_39_14 cg1_0.2_scaffold_6268_c, whole genome shotgun sequence.
GCCUUGGUAGUUAAGUGGUUAUAACACUGGCCUGUCGGGAGAUUAAAAAUCUCGCAGAUCGCCGGAGUCCCGGGUUCGAUUCCCGGUCAGGGCG